GGACACGUAAACUCCAAAUAUACAGCGGGCGUCAGGGUCGGGAUUGAACCCACGACCUGCUGCACACCAGGCGAGGGAGUUGACAUCUCUGCACCGUCGUCCCCCAAGGGAAACUACCACGUGUGUGGUUGCUCCACGCCGAUUUGAACUCGAGCGAGUCGGACGUCGCUCCCUGCUGCGCACCGCAGCUCUGCAAGCCCAGGUAGACGUCCGACUGCUGCACCCCCCACAGGGCGAGCUUUGCCUUCGGCAUCCGCACGUACAGGGUGGCGAUCCGCUCGAAUGCGGCUCGGAGGUGGUGGGUGCAACAACCGGGUUGCCUGGAUUCCCGAGGGGCGCGCGGAGAGAAGACAAUUGUUCACCGACGCUCGCGCGACGCCGCCGGCGUCGUGGCAGGAGUUUUGUGGGUUAGCGUUUUAAUGUCAGGAUGGGGGAGAGAGGUGGAGAGAGAAAAUUAACCCGUAAAAACAAAGUUUUUCACUAUAAAUCCUUUAU